rnacentral:pre_miRNA from 1 species
UAAAAGUUAACUUUGUAUGUAAUUGGAACGUUUGCCUACGUAUGCCGCUAGGGGCGCUGAUCCAACUGCAUACAAAUUCGAGUUA